AGUUUACAAGAGCUGUUUGCAGGAGGAGCGUGUCUCUGCUGGCCUGUCACGGGGCGGAGAGGAAGGACGCUGGGCUGGAUCUCCAACCGCGGCACAAUGCCAAGGACGUCCUUUCAGUUUCAUUUCUCACAAACUGGCUAACGCACCGUUUCCGCAGCCAUGGCAAGAGCUGAGGAAGGAUUUGGAGGGGGUGCUAGCCUGGAGGACGAACUCAGCUGUCCCAUCUGCCUGUGUCUGUACAGGAACCCGGUGUCGCUGAGCUGCGGUCACAGCUUCUGCAAGCAGUGCAUCCAGAAGGCGCUGGGUGCCCAGCAUCAAUCUGGGGCCCUUUACUCCUGCCCCAUGUGCAAGCUCCAGCUGGGGCCCAUCCUGGAGCUGCAGAAUAAUUUCCAGCUGUGUAGCAUCGUGGAGGCAUUUCUGGCCACUUCUUCCAAAGGACAACAGGGCAAGGACUCUGCAGAGGGGAAGGAGGAGGUGGUUCCCUGCGACUUCUGCCUGGAUUUCUCCCAGCCAGCAGUGAAAACCUGCCUGAGCUGCGACGCGUCUUUGUGCCAGGCCCAUCUGAACAAGCACAACGCCAAGGCUUACCAGCAGCACCACAUCCUGGUGGAGGUGGGCACAGGCAGUGUGGCGGAGGAGAGGAGGUGCCCGGAGCACGGCAGGCUGCUGGAGUGCUACUGCCAGGACGAGGGGCAGUACGUCUGUGUCUUCUGCUGCAUCGUGGGGUGCCACAAGGGCCACAGCAUCAUCACCCUGAAGGAGGCAUAUGACAAAGAGCUGAGUGAGCUCUCGGACACUGUGACGUGGCUGCAGGAACAUAAACGCGCUCUAACUAUUGCCCUAGAAGAGCUUCAGAAAAGCGAGAAUCAGCUCAAGAGCAAUACAAAAACAGUGACUUCUCAGCUGCAAAAGCUGUUUGAAGAGAUGAAGAUAGAGAUGAUUCAGAAAGAGAAGAUGAUCCUGAGCGACAUUGAGUCCAAUGAGAAAAAGCAACUGGCAGACAUUACCAAAGUGAAGAAGGAAAUGGAACAGAGGAGAGAUGAGGCUGUGCAGCAUCUUCAGUCUUUGCAGAUGAUGAGAGAGCAAACAGAUAUUUUCCUCUUCCUCAAAGAAUUUAAACUCGCCAGGAACAGGAUUGCCAGUCAGAAUUUCAGCGUCAGCAAGAUGGACGUGGUGGGAGUGCUGCUGGAUCAGGCCUGGAUCGACCACUACCGACACCUGAUAUGGAAAUUUGUGGAUCGCCUGGGCUCACUGCAGAAAGCCGUGCAGAGUGUACUGACCAACCAAAUUAUAUGGAACAGUAGGGCUUCAGAUACUGGUACCUCUUCAAACUGUAAGUGUUCAAAAAAUACUAGUUAUUCCUCGGGACUCUGGCCUGGGGCUGAGAGUCUUGCAGAGAUAAUCUCUCACCUAAAAAUGUGAGCAGUGUUUUGUUGCGUGCAUCUCCUCUCCUUGCCAGAGGUGAGACCAGCGGGAGUGCAGCCUCAGGGCACCACAUCUGCAGCUGGCAGAAAUCUCUGGGAAGUCACCAGAGCAAUCAUUUACCUUCAGCCUGAGGGAGGGACUGGGUUUGCUUCGGUACUCAGUAAAGGUCUGAGCCUGCUCCGAGGAAAGACCGCGGAGGGGUUCCCACCAACUGAGCAGGAGCUGGAGCAAACCCAGUGCCUGAAAGGAUUCCCAGACAAAUCCAGGUGCUGCAGGAGAUACUAAAUCUGUAAACAGUAUUUCUCUUCAGAUAGCACUAGUCCACUGCUCAAAUAGAUUUCUGCUGGGUACAGUGGUGCAUCUUUUCUACAAGCUUUUUUGAAGAAAACUUAGUUAGAAGUUAUUUGAAAAAUAUAUUUUUUUUUUAUUUUUUAAUUGCUGCAACUAAAGUUCAGUUUGCAAAUAAGUUUUUCUUAAUUCAUAACUUCAAAAUAAAAUCCUACUUUCUUCAUCACUUUUUAAUUUUUGGAGGGGAAAAAUACUCUUUUCUGACAAGCAUUUUUCAGGGACAAGUUAAUGGUAAAAUUUUACUUCGGAAAGGAUGUGUUUGAGAACAGCUGUUCAAUGGGGGGGUUGAGGACAAUGUACUCUUGCCGUAAGUGCAAACUUAUUUGUUUUACCAGACAUAUUUGAAAAACCAGAAAAAAAUGUUGUUUUCUUUUUUCAAUAAUUCAUGUAGGUGAUAAUGGAGGGAGAGCACAAGAGGCAUACGGUGCAGCACGAAAACAAUGGAAAUGAUCAAGUGACAGAUGUGAACAGAGUAUGGUCCACAUAUGCACUGAAGUAAGGGAGAGAUGAGAAGUCAGAACUGAAAUGCAACGAAAAAGUUGAAUAUUGCCAAAAAUGUCUUCUAAUAAUAGGGACCUGCCAAGUAUCUUGACCUCCCCUGCAUACCUGCUCUUAAAAGCAAUUCUGUAGCAUGUACAAAUUUAAAAAGGAAGUGCUAAGAAUUAACAUGAACAUAAGAAUAUCUCCACGUGCUGCUGGCUUCCAAACUGUGGACUGUAGCAUCUCAUGAUACUAAUGACACUUGUAUACUAUUAAUUGUGGUGACUAUGCUGUCAUUAUGUGGUUGGAUAACGAAAUAAAUGGCUAUAGAUAUAGAUAAGCAAGGCUGGCUGAUUUCAUGCUAUCACCAGGAAUUAAUUGUUGAAAGCAUUGUUUGUGGAUGGCUGCAGUAGAAAGCUGUUCAGGACCAUGCCACAGAUUUGGAUUAUCACAUUUAACACAAGUGAUCUUUGUAGCAAAGAAUUAAUUAUCUUUGUAUGAAACCAGCUUAGUCAGCCCUAAGUCACAUUUUUAACAAUUCUCCUAGAGAGCGCUCAAAGAGCCAUGCAAAAUUCCAUGGUCAGCAGCCUAUGAAGAUGCUUUACUGGCCACAUCUCCAUGCGUAGAGAUGUUCUUUUCUGAUCAAGCAUGUGCCGUGCUUUCCACAUGUAGCCCUUAAUGCAGGUGUUGACUCCACAAAGGCAUUUCAUGGACGCUGCCAGGCGGACAGGCUCACUCUUUGUUGCUGUAGGGUGCUCUGUGCCCAGCUAUGCUUCAGAUCGAACACGUAGGUUCACAACCUGGGUGUUUCUUCUCCAAGUGAUAAAAAUAUUCUACUGCAAACCAGGGUUGCCAACAUAAACAUUUUUGAGAAAUAAUUCUGGGUGCUUCUAUAUAAAUUAGGGUUCAUGGCUAUGAUUCUAUUCUGUCACUUGUGAUAAUCAACAUUUGCCUAAUUGCAGGGAUUAAAAACAAUAAACUCAGCAAAAUCCAUCUCAGAUUUAGAGUAACAUCUCCCUUCGUGGUUUAAACAGACUCGCCAAGCUGUAAUGUAUCCACAGCCCUUGCUCUGCUGCACACAUCAAUUGUCAGCAUAUCGGAAAGUGCACAGCCAAAUUUUGGGAGCUCAGCAGUAGCUCAAGGUGACUUUGCAAAUACUCCCUACUGCUGGAAGCCAGCGAGACACGAAGGACAGCUUCUCUCAACCACUCAAAUGAGGCAAAAGAAAUGAGCCUGUCCUUCGGCACUUUUAUUACCUGGGCUUCUCUCUGGCUGCCAGGUAGUUAUUGCUCUCACCCCAGGUGAAGGAGCCGUGACCAGCCAAUGCAGCUGGGUGCUGCUGCUGCAGGCAGCAAGUUACUGCACUGCUGCAAAUCACAGAGGGCGAAAGAUUUCCUCAAGCACGGUAUUUUAAGUAACUCGCUCCCCCCCAUCUCACAGCGCAUCCUACGUUGACUACGCUUAGGAAACGUCAGCACUUCUGUAGCCCCUUCUGAAAUACCGGUUCAGCAUUUCCUCAGCGACACCCGCCUUACAAACGUGUGUUCCCGUGCCUCCAGCCACGGGCUGCCGUGGGAGAACUGGGCACCGCUCUCCCCCUCGCUAGCAAAGGGCACAGGCACCCGGCAGCAGGGUGCUCAGAAAUCCCUCCGUCCAGCGUGUUUCUGGAUAUAUAGCUACCCCCUUGCCUGCAAGCAGUUCUCACUUUUUAACACCAUUUCUGACAGUCUUGGAGAAGCCAUGAUGAUAUUUUCUUUCCCCGGGGAG